rnacentral:misc_RNA from 1 species
UCAUUUAGAGGAAGGAGAAGUCGUAACAAGGUUUCCGUAGGUGNACCUGCGGAAGGAUCAUUGUCGAAACCUGCAAAGCAGACCCGCGAACUCGUUUUUCACUACACCCGGGGGCGACGGCGCCUACGAAGCAUGCACACCGUGCUUGCCUCUUGGCGUCGGGACCCCCGUUCCCGUCGCACGGGUGCCUGCACCUGGUGCGCGGUUUAACAAACCCCGGCGCGAAAAGCGCCAAGGAAUAUGAAAACAUUGCCUCUCCGUUGGUGCCCCGUUCGCGGUGCGCACUGUCGGGGAACAGGCGUGUGUCCAAAAUCUAAAACGACUCUCGGCAACGGAUAUCUCGGCUCUCGCAUCGAUGAAGAACGCAGCAAAAUGCGAUACUUGGUGUGAAUUGCAGAAUCCCGUGAACCAUCGAGUUUUUGAACGCAAGUUGCGCCCGAAGCCUCUGUGCUAAGGGCACGUCUGCCUGGGCGUCACGCAUUACGUCACCCUUCGUCGCCAAUCCCAAGUGGUUGGCCGGCAUUGGGUCGGAUGUUGGCCUCCCGUAUGCCUGUGCUUGCGGUUGGCCCAAAUAUGAUUCGGCACUUGACGCGUGCCUCGACAAUUGGUGGUUGAACAACUCAACUUGCGCCUAGUCGGGAUCCAUCGUGUCGCGCUGUCCGGAUGCGUCGGCCCUAAUGGUGCAUCGCACCCUCGANUGCGACCCCAGGUCAGGCGGGACUACCCGCUGAGUUUAAGCAUA